UGCCCCUCUAUCCCACUUUGUGUCCAGGCCUAGAUUUUGUAAUGAGACAACAUUAGAAGAGCAUGCAAUGUGUCAUAACCUUCAACUCAAGGUCACGGUCAUUAGUAAACAAAAGCUAUAAAUACUGGUUCCGGAUUAUGUUUUUGAUAAUGCAUAGACAUACCGUAAUAAAACCUAAUUCUCAAAGUCAGAAUUUUGAAAAGGAGAGACAAUCGAAGCUCAUACUUGGUAUAAAUGUUGCGUGUACUACACAUUGUGACAUGGCAUGAUCCUGAAUCCAGGUCAUUUGGUCACCAAGCAUGCAAAACUGAAAACAUUACUAGAGGAAUAUUUGUCCUGGCCACAGCUUUAAUACUAAGAAACAGUUGAAAUAGAGAUGGUCACUUUUGAUCAAAAAUCCAAUAUCCAGUAUUCCUAGUAUGAAAGCACACUCUUUGCACCACCAACAUACAACUAUUCUCAUACAGAGUCAAGCUUCUCAAAGUGGGAUACUCAGCGUACAACUAAUGCCUUAUGGGCCUUUUGUUUUAUCUUUCUUUUCUUCUUCUUUUUUUUUUCAUUUUCCCAGAGAUCGAUUAUAUGUAGACAUUUUUAGGAUAGAAGUUGUCCAAACCAUUUUCACUUUCACUCAUUCCGCCUCAUAAUUGUCCGAGUUAAUAAGAUUGAUUAUAAACUACGAUUUAAAUUUAUUAGACUACUUAUAUUUUGUGCAUGUUUUUUUUUCCAUAUAUCACAGAAACGACGAAUCGCGGUUUUGGUAACAACCGAUGAAUUUCGACGAGGGUUGUUGGAGUGACCAGCUGGGAGAGUUAUCAAUCUCUGGCUAGGCCGUGCUUUAUCGUGUUUCGGGGUAGAACUGUGCCGCUGACACACACAGCGGGGUAGAGCUGGAAACUAUGUAAAUGAGGGUCGCUUAGGCCAAAAGAUAAAAACUUUCAGACAACGAUGGGGACCUUUUUAGACCAGGAUAGAACAUUUAUCAUGUGCACUUCAAACAUAAUACGAUUCGUGUCUUAUUUACCCGUGUUGAAAGCUGUCACAUUGUUCAAGGGUGUCAAACUACAAGGCUUCCGAGCAAACAUAUAAAAGUUCAAAACACAGUUCAAAUAUUUAUCAAACUCAGUUUGAUAUGCAAUUAAGAUUAUCCAUAGAUGGGGUUUAAUCAUAGUUGCACAAUUAUGCAGAUAAAUCUAUUGGGGUGAAGUAUUUGACAUGUCACACCCUACCGGAGUACGGCAAAUCAGGACGGAUCAACUCUGAUGAUAAUGUUAUGUAUUUAACAAGAUGUGGUGCAUUCACUUAAGAAUUUUACUUUUAAAUGUUGUACAAGUAAGGGAAAUGCAAUAUGUUUUAUCAAUUGUUAACUUACAGUUCAAAAAUACUUAAUACUAAGGGAUUGACCAAUGUCUGUGAAAUUUUAAUGAACAUUCUGUUUCCAUGAGAACACAGUCAUUGUGUUUUCUAAAAAUCAGAACAUACUGGUGCUCAAUUAUCCGUACUUCCAAUCUUUUAGGCUCGAAUGAAGGCAGCUUUCGAAUUUUACAGAUUUUGUAUCCAUGAAGUUUGAAAACUAGUAUGUAUCAUAUACAAGCAUGUUAUGCAGUCAAUAGCACUUUGUGACCUGGUUUUCAGACGCCUCCGCGCCGAAAUGUCAGACAUGUAUGUCAAUGUGCACAUAUGGAACGGAUGCCUAGCUGGGGCGCAGACUCACUGUUACAUAAUAAGCCAUAAGUCGAGCUGUCAGCACUGUUGUAAUUGGUGAUGAAAAAGGGGUACGUACUCUCGUACUUGUGAUACAGAACUAAAUAGUCUCGACAGCGACAGCCUGAACCUAGCAACAAACACAUAAUACUGUCUAAAAUCAUAAUUCAAACGUUUCGGUUGUUAGUUCUUUUUCUACCCCAACAUACGCCGUCUAAUUACUUUCUUGCGAGAUGAAAAACACUUUUCGUUUUUCCCUCUUUUGCUGAAAUUUUAUACGUAAUGCCUCCACUUUCAAACAUCUGAAUAAACAACCAUUGAAUGUGAGAAAACAGUAAAAAUAAACAAUGGAGAUGUGAUUAUUUUCGUAAACUCAAAGGAUCUUCAGAGUUUUUUUGAACAAAAUAUUUGAAUUUUGAUAAGCAGAAGUGACAAGCCCCUUUGCAGUUGAAAGUGUGAAAAAACUUAUUAUAACCGAAAUUCCUUUGUAGACAUUUCCUUGGUUCCACAGUACAUGCUGCGAAUCCAAAACAUGCAAACCUAAAGAUUAAAACUGCAAAUCAAAAUUUAUAACAAAUCAACUUUACCCGGUAUACGGAAAUAGGUGGACCAGAACGAACGGAAUCGCAAGGGGUAGGUGGUAUACUUACGGAAAUUACCAAAGCCACCAAAGAUGUUGAAGGACUUUUCAGUUACUGAAAUGCUAAUAAGAUUGUUCGGUCACAUGGUGUAAAUUGUUAUAUACCCUUAAGGGAUAAUAGUUUUGGGGUUCUAUAUCAAACUACAAAUUAAAGAAGAAUGAAAUAUUUCAUGAUAGGAAACACGGAAUAUAAAUGAGAUAUUACCAUGCGGGUUAUUGACUAGCAAUGACUCAUAUUGUUGCAGAGUUGUCAUAAAUAUAUAAUCAUGAUGAAAAAUGAAACAAAAAACAAGAUUAUGACUCAAAGGAUUACGAAGCUGACGUUAAUAUGGGAGUAGAUUGCCCCGUGUAACAAGUACAUUUGGCUUCAUAUUCAUAAUGUAUGAGAAACGAAAUUUGAUAAUGCAGAAUUGAAGUUUCCUAUUUUGUACAGACGUCCAAACUGGUUUAAAUCAUUUGGUCCAAACAGAAUAGAGAACGAUUUAACAAUGUGUUGUGCAUUUUAUUCUGAACCCUCCAUAAUGUAGUAAACUUUUACCACUCUCGAAAGGAAAAAAGCUAAACUUAAUAUUUAGUACAUUAUUUGCGAUUAUGAAAAUAAUUGUAAAAAUAAAAAGCUUUCAUAACAAAAUUUGUGAUAUACGGUGUCAUACUAGCAUCUAAACACUAAUGUUGGAUACAAUUUAAUUUAGUGGAGGAAAUCCAUCUUCGCUAGCCAAACGUCCGAUUCGCUUACUCUCAUCUCAUGAGAGUAAGCGAAUCGGACACUUGGCUUGUCCUCAUUUUUCAAACUCAUGGCAGUCGUUUACAUAAUAUCAAUUCGGAUAGGUCUUCAGUAAAUUUCCUCCAAACAAGGCGAUCGUAAUAGAUUGGGGUCCCCCCCUUAAACAUCCCGUCGAGAAUUUUUCACUCAUAUUGAGACGUCACCAAUUGGUGAAGUACAAGACCUAUGCUUAGCGCUCAGGACAAUAGCAGUGAAGGUUCUUUAACGUGCCAACGCCUGCCGCGACACGUGACCUCCGUUUUUAAGGUCAUAUCCGAAAGACUCGUGGCGAAGGAGCAAUCACUACCUAUGUUUACCGAUUAGGUUUGAAGCGGCCAUGGCACGAGCGGGGUUCGAACUCUUGACCUCCUUAUUACGAAGCGAACGCUCUACCACUGAACUACCGCGACCGGUGUGAUCGCAGUUGAAAAUAUAUCGGAACCAUAUGGCCAGUGUAAGGUGAGGAAAUGGUCACUGAAAGGUGGCUGACAUGCUCCUGUCGUUUCAUCAAGAAGAAACGGAAUAAUACUUUCACAUUUCUUUAUGCAAGGAUUCAUACCUACAACGUUGAUAGGUAAAAAGAAAUGUAACAAAUCGUGUACGCACGGGUGACUCGAAAAGGUAACGGAGUCUAGAUAGAGGCCUAGUUCGAUCAUCAUCUAUAGUUACUAGACUUGAAUCAAAGCAUGAUCGAACUGCAUUUGGUCGAAACCGGAAAGGGUUUCACUGCGCAUGUCUGGUCUACCACACAGCAACUUAUGCUUGCAGAGUAGUUGAACUUUAGUAACCAGACAUGCGCACUGAAGGUCCGGAAGCAAGCUAGGCAUGCGCAAUGAAGUUUCGGAAGUUGACUAUAAACUACUAUGGUCAAACUUACUUUGGUUCAACUUUAGUUACUAUAGUUGAUGAUCGAAUUCGGCCUGAGUUUACAAGCAUUCGUGCUAGAAUCCGAAAUUUUGAAAUUUCCCUAUUCAGCGUCUUAAACUUGUAUAUAUCUAAUACAGAAAAUCAAUAGAACCCAGACUAAAUUGUGCAAAAAUCAGAAAAGAGAAAUUUUGAAAGGUUUAUUAAACAAACGAGCACGAUUUAUGUAGAUUCUUACCGUAACACUGCUGCAAAGAAGUGCAUGAUGCUUGUAUCAAUUAAUCUGCAUCACACCCAAAAAAUGCUUGUACCCUUACAAUAUAAUCAAGCCCUGGACAGAAGUUCAACAUUUUGUGCUGUUGAUUUUAAAAAGCGCCGUGUAUGAAUGGGAUGUACAAACGUGACACUGUGGUAAGAAUUCUUCAGCUGAGGUGGUGUAGUAAGUACACCAACAUUUAAUGUCUACAAGAUGAAUGAAAUAGUUAACGUCUAAUGAGGAUUCAACAUCACCAGGCACUGACGUCAGUGAUCUUGUCAUGUAGUUGUAGGAUUUGAUGCUGUCAGGGAGGAAGUUGUAUCACGUGACAUCUAUAUAUGUCGAAUUUUGUGGUCCAUGUGACGCCAUACGCGUUAGUCUUGAAUGAAGACUCUCGAGUCGAAUUCCCAUAUUCUAGAAUCUGUUUAUGAAAAUGUCUCGGUAAAGUUAACAAUGAAUGUCAGCAACAAGCCUGGAAUAUGGUUUUAUAGUGAGAUGAUUUGGUUUUAUGUAAAUGUUGUGUUUAAAGGAAGUUAAACAAAGGCGUUCUUAAACUUUUGUCAAGUUUUGCAUGGAACUUGGACUCCCAGAUCGCAUGUACAACCACAGGCAUUUGACGUUCUAAAUAUAUAUGAUAAAAAAAAUUGUCUUUCCGUACGCAAACUUUUCAGAAUGAUUUGUUUACAGGAAGACUAUUCUUUUAUUAAAUAAAUUUAAAACGUCAAGUGCCUGUGAGUAGGACGUAGAUGUGAUUCGGACAUAUUCUUAUGAAGACGUCACAACAUUUCGUAAGCCGCUCGUCAACCGAUUUCUUUUUCUUUACAUCGGAAUAAUUUUAAUUGCAAAUUAAAAGUGUACAUUUUGAAAGGUGUUUGUGCGCAAAACAAGCGCGUUUUUUUUCGGCAUUUAUAACCGUCCCACGCAUAUCGGAAUGAAAAUACCAAGCUCGUCAUUUUGUUUCUCGUAAGUGAAGGGGACACCAUAAAAAUUCUUCUCAGGAAUAUUUUUGUCAAUUAUCUGUAGAAUUGAUACUCAGUGGUUUGACACAUGGUUUUGUAUUGCAUAAUAUGACGUGUUUCCCGGGCUACCAUGUGUUGUAGAAAACCUACUUUGAAGAAGGGUGAGAUGUCAGACAUCUUUAAGACGCAAGUAUCGGAUCAAUAGUUUAUGCUGUAUGAUAUUAUUUCUGUCUUGUCCCAACCCGGUAAUCUCCAGAGUUCUAUCAAGCUUUUUAUCUUUUCUUUGAGUCUAGUAUUUCAUUUCAUCUCGUUUAUCCAGUGUCAUUAGGACAUAGAAGAGGUGUCAUGUUUAGCAGCAGUAAAGUAACUCGCAAUCACUUUAUCUUAUCUGGUUUAAUAUAUAUCACUUUGAUAAUACAAACUUUGAAGAUGUACUGUUUUAUACAAAUUUCAGAACAUGUCAUUUCCAUGGGAUCGUAUGAUCGAUGGUUGUCGAUUGUGAAUUGGUUGAAAUUCGGAUGAGGGCGGGAUUUGCAUAUAUUGAAGACCUUGAAAGGUUUCCCAAGAGUAUGUACUCCAAACUACUAGUAUUCAAGUCCAAACUAAUGAUCAGCUCAGACCAAUGAACAAUUUAGACCAAGAAAAAAUCCAGACCAAGGAAUAGUCCAGACCCAGAAAUAGUCAAGGAAUGGUCCAGUCCCAGAAAUAGUCAAAGAAUAGUCCAGUCCCAGAAAUAGUCAAGGAAUAGUCCAGACCCAGAAAUAGUCAAAGAUUAGUCCAGACCCAGAAAUAGUCCAGACCCAGAAAUAGUCAAAGAAUAGUCCAGUCCCAGAAAUAGUCAAGGAAUAGUCCAGUCCCAGAAAUAGUCAAGGAAUAUUCCAGACCAAGGAAUAGUCCAGACCAAGGAAUAGUCCAGACCAAGGAAUAGUCCAGUCCCAGAAAUAGUCAAGGAAUAGUCCAAUCCCAUAAAUAGUCAAAGAUUAGUCUAGACCCAGAAAUAGUCAAGGAAUAGUCCAGACCAAGGAAUAGUCAAGACCAAGAAAUAGUCAAGGAAUAGUCCAGUCCCAGAAAUAGUCAAGGAAUAGUCCAGUCCCAGAAAUAGUCAAGGAAUAGUCCAGUCCCAGAAAUAGUCAAGGAAUAGUCCAGUCCCAGAAAUAAUCAAGGAAUAGUCCAGUCCCAGAAAUAGUCAAGGAAUAGUCCAAUCCCAGAAAUAGUCAAAGAAUAGUCCAGUCCCAGAAAUAGUCAAAGAAUAGUCCAGUCCCAGAAAUAGUCAAGGAAUAGUCCAGACCAAGGAAUAGUCCAGUCCCAGAAAUAGUCAAAGAAUAGUCCAGUCCCAGAAAUAGUCAAGGAAUAGUCCAGUCCCAGAAAUAGUCAAGGAAUAGUCCAGACCAAGGAAUAGUCCAGUCCCAGAAAUAGUCAAAGAAUAAUCCAGUCCCAGAAAUAGUCAAGGAAUAGUCCAGACCCAGAAAUAGUCAAGGAAUAGUCCAGACCCAGAAAUAGUCAAGGAAUAGUCCAGACCCAGAAAUAGUCAAGGAAUAGUCCAGACCAAGGAAUAAUCAAGGAAUAGUCCAGACCAAAAAAAUAGUCCAGUCCCAGAAAUAGUCAAGGAAUAGUCCAGUCCCAGAAAUAGUCAAAGAAUAGUCCAGACCCAGAAAUAGUCUUGACCAAUACAGCUAGUCUCGAGUCCUCGGUCAUUAACCUUUAAAAAGAAGCAUGUAUAAAUCAGUGACUCCAUGUCCCUCAUGUACUGGAAACUGUACUUGGAAAUGCUAAACAUUUAUUACGCUAGUGUCUUCUGUUUAUAUAAUAAUGUUACAUUUUGCAUGCACUGUACCAACUAGUAGUCCAGGAUUUGACACAUAGUACACAUGAUAAUAUAUCUUGUGAAGUAGAGAAGCAGAGCACGUUGUAAGGAUGGUGUAAACAUAUUACAUCGGUUCACACCACACCAACCAUUCAUUAAAUUAAACGGGGUAUACUGUAUAUGUUAAGGGUUAAAUUACAUGAAAAAUCCUAGUGCACUUAGCAAGGUAAUUGAUUGUGUUAUCAUUAUUAUUAUUAUAUAAACAUUUGUACAGCACCUUAUAUAAUCGUGAAAUUACUCUAUGCGCUUAAUAAAGUGAUAUAAAACUUAUUUCACAUGUAUUAUAAUAAAACAAAAGACGAAAAAUGAAGAAAAAAUAUAAUGAUUGAAUAAAAGUUUAUAUACACUUAA